rnacentral:rRNA from 1 species
AGUGAACGCUGGCGGUAGGCCUAACACAUGCAAGUCGAACGGCAGCACAGUAAGAGCUUGCUCUUACGGGUGGCGAGUGGCGGACGGGUGAGGAAUACAUCGGAAUCUACUUUUUCGUGGGGGAUAACGUAGGGAAACUUACGCUAAUACCGCAUACGACCUACGGGUGAAAGCAGGGGAUCUUCGGACCUUGCGCGAUUGAAUGAGCCGAUGUCGGAUUAGCUAGUUGGCGGGGUAAAGGCCCACCAAGGCGACGAUCCGUAGCUGGUCUGAGAGGAUGAUGAGCGACAAUGGAACGGAGACACGGUCCAGACGCCUACGGGAGGCAGCAGUGGGGAAUAUUGGACAAUGGGCGCAAGCCUGAUCCAGCCAUACCGCGUGGGUGAAGAAGGCCUUCGGGUUGUAAAGCCCUUUUGUUGGGAAAGAAAAGCAGCAGGUUAAUACCCCGCUGUUCUGACGGUACCCAAAGAAUAAGCACCGGCUAACUUCGUG